GACGCGCCUGACGCUUUCCCGGUGGUGGGCAGCGGGGCCGCGCAUCCUUCCCUCCGCUUGAGAGGCGACUGCAGAGGAGGCAGAUGCCGACUGAGAUCCGCUGCCUGUGGAUUGUCUCUCCGAAUAGCACCGCGUACGUUAUCGCCCCCCCCAUCCCCCGCCCCCAAACACCCACCCCCGGUAUGACUGCGUGGAUCAAGCCGAGAGGGGUCGCGAAGGGGGGGUCGUUCGAAUCUUUUUAGGCUUUUUUGGGCGUCAGAUCUGGAGGUCCCCUGGACUUGGAAUACCGGAAAAAAAGCUGCGACUUGGCUGCUGCACCUCGUCUCGUUGCUUUGGAAUAUACACGCACCAAACCAUGGAGAUUAUAUGACACGGAUUUUUUUUUUCUAACAACCGACGCAACGACGGUGGCCCCUUUUCUGCUCUUUUGUUUUUCUUUCCUUUCCCCUUCCGUGUUGAUCUUUUGUGUGUGUGUGUGUGUGUGUGUGUGUGUGCUUUCCUUUCGACUCAUGUUUACUUUAUGAUUUAGCGCCCCGAUUCCUCGUUUGGCUUUGUUUCCUUUUCAUUUCCUCCUGAUCAUUAUUGAUGUUAUUCUACUUAUGGGAUGCCGGCCAAGAACAUUAGCGCGGAAAAGAUUCCGGAGCUGCAUUCGGAAUGAAUGAAUGAGUGAUCGUCUGUCUCGCUCUUCGCACCUGAGACGUGCCAUGGAUGAGAAACUUCAUUUGGAUCCGCGGAACCCAUCGGGGAUGAGUCGUUACGUCAAAUAACUACUUCUGACAACGAUCAGGACGAAUGUCAUAGGAUGAACACUGCUGGUGGGGCGUAUCUGUCUGGGCUGUCCUCUCUCCUGGCUGCGCUCGGGGCGCUGGCUGCCGUGUCCGCCCUGGCUCUGGCUCCUCUGUCCGCCCUGGCCCAUGUGGCCUCCGGGGCCGCCGAUGUCAUCCCCGGCACCGGGGUAGCGGGACCCCUAGCCGUCUCGACCGUCUCCACGCCGUGCUCCAGCUUAGUCGCCGGGGUGCUCUAUGGCUCUUUCUCCCUAAGGGAGCUUUUUCCCUCCAGGGCCCCGGGGUGUUCCUGGUCCCUGGAAAACCCGGAUCCCACCAAGUAUUCCCUCUACCUCCGCUUCAACCGCCACCCUGCCGUCUGCCGGACGCACUCCCCCAUGCUGCUCUCCCUGGAUCACCAUUUGGCCAAUCAAAGUUGUCCGCUUCACUUCGAGGAGGCCUCGGCUCGGGAUCGGGAAGUGGUCCAUCUCUGUGGGAGACAAUCCGAGGCGGAUGCUCCUUACUCCUUCCUGCAGUUCGAUAAGAACUUUGUCCAACUAUGUCUAAGCAGAUAUCCGUCCGCAGAGGAACCUCAGGUAUCCAAGGAUUUACUGGAGAUGAGGCUGGUGGAGGUGUUACUCAUCAACAACGAGAACUCGAGUCAGUUCACCUGCGGCGUGCUCUGCCGGUGGUUUGAGGAAUGCUUACGAACGGGCGAGCGGAAGGGAGACGACGUCGCCACGCGGGACGGUUGCGCAUUGACGCAAACGGGCUGCAUAUGUCCCAAUCACAACAUCGCGCCACCUUCCGUGCCGCUCGUACCCGAGACGCCUCAUGGCUUCCGCAACGGCUCGACGCUUCCGGAUGGGUGCUGCGUGACGGAGCUGCAUUCCAACGAUGCCAUCGCCAUUGCGCCGAGAGACGUUCGACAAGACCCAUAUGACGAUGACUUGAAGGUGAAAACGCAAAGACCAAGAUCAGCUGACCAGCCAGGUGUGUUUCAGGCACAAACAGGUGACCCUGCAGCGGAGGAAUGGUCUCAAUGGAGCAUGUGCUCUCUGACCUGUGGACACGGCUGGCAAGUGAGGACGCGCUCGUGCGUUUCGUCUCCGUACGGCACGCUGUGCAGUGGCGCCCUGAGAGAAACCCGCAUGUGCAACAAUACGGCUUCCUGUCCAGGUGAAACCGGGAUAAUAAGCUCAGUGCAUGGACUGUGGCACGAGUGGUCCUCAUGGAGUCUGUGCUCUGUGAGUUGUGGGCGGGGCUCCAGGACUCGAACCCGGAAGUGCGUGAACGAAGGUGGGGCCGCCGUGCCUUGCGGAUGGCCCGAGAGGCAGACCAAACUCUGCAACAUAGCAGUGUGUCCUGUGGAGGGCAAGUGGUUGGAGUGGGGCCCGUGGUCAAGAUGCAGCGUUUCCUGUAACACGGGCACCCAGCAGAGGCAGAGACGCUGCAGCGCAUCGGUGCACGGGUGGGCUGAGUGUAAGGGCCCCCAUCAAGAGAGCAGAGAGUGCACCAACCCUUCAUGCACCGGCGGGGGUAACUGGGGCAGCUGGAACCACUGGAGCCUUUGCAGCAAGACAUGCGACUCGGGAUGGCAGCGGCGCUCCAGGAUGUGCGAGGGCAACGGGCAACAAGGGUACCCGUGUGAGGGCUCGGCAGAGGAGGUCCGGUCUUGUAACGAAAAGAAGUGCCCCGCGCCCCACGAGAUAUGCCAAGACGAGAACCUCCUCACCAUGUCAUGGAAAAGAGCCUCGGCCGGAGAAACGGUUUACAACAAGUGUCCAACAAAUGCUACUGGAUCUGCUAGUCGUCGUUGUAUGCUGGACAAUAAUGGAGUUGCUUUCUGGGGUCCUCCGAGCUUCGCCAGAUGCAUCUCAGUUGAAUAUAGAUAUUUGCAUAUAUCUUUACGAGAGCAUCUCGCGAAGGGUCAGAGGACCCUGGCUGGUGAGGGCAUGUCUCAGAUCGUAAGAAGUCUCCUGGAGCUCUUGCAGAGGAGGAGCUACCACAGUGGCGACCUUCUCUUUUCCACGGAGAUCUUGCGAAAUGUGACGGACACCUUCAAAAGAGCAACCUACAUCCCAGCUCCUGACGACGUGCAGAAAUUCUUCCAGAUAAUCAGCCAUAUGUUGGACAUGGAAAAUUUGGACAAGUGGGAAGACGUACACCAGGUCGCCCCUGGCGCCGCGUUGCUGAUGAGAAUUUUAGAAGAUUUUAUUCAUCUCAUUGGUGAAGCCCAAAAGCCUUUCCAGAGUUUUUUAGUGGUUACCAACAACCUGAUGAUAACCAUCCAGCGAGAACCCGUGUCAGCGGUUUCCAGUGAUAUUAACUUCCCCAUGAAGGGCCGGAGGGGGAUGAAGGACUGGGCCAGAACAGCAGAGGACAAGCUCUACAUCCCCAAGGAGGUCUUUACUGUCCCAAAUGAAGAGGCGGAGCCAGAUUCCGAGGCAACCGUGUAUUAUGUCAUUGGAGCCAUCUUGUACAGGACAUUGGGCAAUAUUUUACCGGCACCAAACCAACCUGCGGUGAUCAACUCCAAGAUCCUCACGGUGGCGAUACGACCGGAAUUGACGCCGAGCGAUCCCGUGGUGGUGGUGGAGCUUGCGACUCUUUUCAACGGUACAUCCGAUGCCCAGUGUGUCGUGUGGGACUACGUCGACUCGGAAGCUGGCGUUGAAAACUGGGGCACAGAAGGCUGCCAAACGCUCACAUCAACCACUGUCCAAACCAAAUGCCUGUGCAGCAGGAUAUCCACCUACGCUGUGUUAGCGCAGCAAGCUAAAGAGCCGGAAAUGGGUCCCACUGGCAUGCCCUCGGUGCCCCUGAUGGUGGGCUGCGGGGUCUCCUGCUCUGCUCUGCUCAUCCUGCUUCUUAUCUACGCUGCCUUCUGGAGGUAUAUCCGCUCCGAGAGGUCCAUCAUCUUGGUGAAUUUCUGCCUUUCCAUCCUGGCCUCCAAUUUAUUGAUUUUGGUGGGACAAUCGCAAACGCUUAGCAAGGGCCUAUGUACCGUGACGGCUGCCUUUCUUCAUUUCUUCUUCUUGGCCUCUUUCUGCUGGGUGCUGACGGAAGCUUGGCAGUCCUACCUGGCGGUCAUCGGCAAAAUGAGGUCACGACUCAUUCGCAAGCGAUUUCUGUGCCUCGGCUGGGGUCUUCCAGCCUUAGUUGUAGCGGUGUCAGUCGGGUUCACCAGAGCGAGAGGCUACGGCACCGCCAGCUAUUGCUGGCUAUCCCUUGAGGGGGGGUUGCUUUAUGCCUUUGUUGGACCUGCUGCUGUCAUAGUGUUGGUGAAUAUGCUCAUUGGAAUCGUGGUGUUUAACAAGCUCAUGUCUCGAGACGGCAUCUCCGACAAGUCAAAAAAGCAGCGAGCGGGUGUCCCGGUGGAGGCGCGUAGCCGACUUCUACUGAAAUGCUCCAAGUGCGGCGUGAUCUCGAGCACCGCUCUCUCCAGCUCGACUGCCAGCAGCGCCAUGGCAUCUCUGUGGAGCUCCUGUGUGGUCCUUCCGUUGCUGGCCCUCACUUGGAUGUCAGCGGUGUUGGCCAUAACCGAUCGCCGCUCCACACUUUUCCAGAUCCUCUUUGCCGUCUUCGACUCGGUCCAAGGUUUCGUGAUCAUCACCGUGCACUGCGCCAUGCGCAGAGAGGUGCAAGACGCGAUGCGCUGUCGCAUGGGCGGCUGUAAAGACGACAGCGAGAACUCCCCCGACUCCUGCAAGAACGGACAGGUGCAGAUCAUGCAUCAGAAGGGUCCAAACGUGGCCCAUUACGGCACAGGCCAGUGCGUGAGCGGGUGCCGCCCACAGUCGGUCCUGCCGGCGUGCCAGCAGCAGGCCUGUUCCCGCAGUCUGCCGCGCAACCACGGCGGGCUCGACCGCGGACACGUUCUCAGCUAUCUGCAUGAGCAAAGCGCCGUGCCCAACGACGCCUGCAAUUGCAACCACAUUGCCGGCCAAACAACCGAUUUUGAGAAGGACGUGGACUUGGCGUGCCAAACAGAAAGAGGACACCCAUUCAUUUUCAAGGAGGUGAACACCUGCAACCCAGCCACCAUCACGGGCACCUUGUCCCGGAUAUCCCUGGAUGAUGACGAUGAUCCCAAACUCGCCGCCCAUCAGGACGGGGGAGUCGGGGUGAACUUCAGCUCCCUCCCCGGGAACAUCCCCCCUCCCAACCUUGUUGUGCAGGUUCCGCAGCUCGGAGGGCUCAACGAGCUGAGCGAGAUCUCAUUGAAGAAGGAGAUGAAUGUCGACCAGCAGAGACAACAGGCGCAGCAGCGCUGCGGCGCUCCCAUCUACUUGUGCACCGACGGCGGCCUGGGCUGGGCCAGACCGCCCGGGUCCUCCAACACCUCCCAGGACGGAAGCGCCGGGAGCGGGGGCAGUGUCGGAGAGGGAGACUACAUGGUCUUACCUCGACGGACGGUCGCUAUCAAACCUCCGGCGCCGUCCUCCCAAGGAGGAGCUCUGGGACUGGGAGGCGAAGACAAGCCUCUCAACAUCGCGGCGGAGGACCCCCCGUUCCCUCCUCCCCCGUCUCCCUUGACCCUCCAUCCUGCCGAGAGCGAGGCCUACCCGGCUGAUUUUGUGCCGCCCGGUGUGGGCGACAUGAACAUCAACGUGAACCUGAACCGUUCUUACGGGACAAUCAAAACGCUGCCCCACGGACACGGCCACCUGAUGGCCCCGGGCGGUCUCGUCCACCCCCACGGGGUGCGCAUGCAUCCUCACGGGCAUUCACUCCAGCUCAAGCCAGGCCAGAGGCCUUCGGUCAGACAAAUUCUGACGGCGGGGACCACGGCGGAUAGAACCAGAACCCUGCCGCGCAACCUGGGCAGCAACAAUGCCAACGUGAGCCUGUCGGCGGGAUCCCUCGAGAGGAAAAGAGUACGAUACUCUGAGCUGGACUUUGAGAAAGUGAUGCACACUCGCAAAAGACACUCUGAGCUGUACCAUGAGCUCAACCACUCCUCCAAGUUCCACACCAUAGACAGGUAUAGCAGGGACCCAGCCAUGUCCACGUUCAAGUUUGAGUGUAGCCAGACAGGCUGCAGAUCCAUGGGCAACCAAGUCAACAAAGGUAAAGUUGUACCCACUCACCCUCUCACUCCUCUCAUAGCCCUUUUCCACCCCAGAAAACUUGGUGCUCGUUCGGCGCCAGGGCCACUAAUGUGCUUAGUUGCUGCUGAACAAGUUCUGCAUUCUUUUCCUUGCCUUGCUUGCUUUGUGCCACUUGUAGUUUCCUCUCAAAAAAAUACCUUCUGGUGCUUUUAGUUCUGUCUUUGUCGUACAUGUUAUUAUUAGCAUUUUUUUUCAAUUGUAUUCAAAGAAGCAAGGGCCAAUUACCAGUUUGACGGUUCACCGUGGUUUUAAAAAGGUCAAGGUUUCAGUAGCCACGAAUACCGUCUGUCACCAAUAAUGAGCUCUUUUCUUGUUUGAGGGGACUUUGACGCACGGCGCAAACUGAUUGGCUCCUUGCAGAGUUGAGCAAACAAGCCUUCUCUUUGAAAUGAAUAGCCUCCAAUUAACUUCUUUGAGUUAGCAUUCUCUGUGAGCAGAGAAGGGAGGGGUGAGCAGUUAUUCACGGACAAUGAGUGGGGCCGAAGGAGCUUGGAUGACAGUAGGAAGGACGCCUUUUGACUAAUAAUGUUCAUUGUCCUGAAAUAUAAAGAACAUGUUUUUGAAAAAAAAAUAAUAAUAAUCGACGGUGCCAGCGCGUAAUUGUUAACCCCGAGGACAACAUGAGGAGCCCACUAAAAAUAGCCCGCCAGUGACACUGUGACUCGGUAAGAAGAAUUAGAAGAGACGAUUGUUAAUAUCUUUGAUUGAUUUAUCAGGUUUACACAUUUCAUAUUGGACCACACAUUCUAUAUCACGUUCACAACUAAAAUAGAUUGUGUUCAAUGAGGAGGAGGAAAAAUGCAUUUUUUUAAUGUACCCCACCAUUGCAAAAAGGAUGCAUUUUAACGCUGUCAUUUUAAUACGGUGACCAUAGCGUCAGAAAGCAUCGUUGUAUCGAGAUUCACCAAAAGUUUAGGUUCUCUAAACUAAUGCCAUCUUCCACGCUUUAUUUUUAAAGUUGUACAACAAGUCCAAGAUUGCGCGCUAGCUCAUUUCCAUGAUCAUUGAUCAUUUGGACCUUGACGAGGGCUUUUGAGUGACGGGCAGAGAGAGAAAGAGUGGGAGAGAAGCGAUGAUGUCAACAAAGCAAAAGCGAGCCGUUCACCCGCCAGUGGCAAGAGCAAUGCUGUUUGUGUAAAAGCAGAGUUGCGAGUGACUUUGAUUUCCUCCUUUUCUCUCAUUUCUCCCUUGUUUUUUUCUCUCUCUCUCUGUCGGUGUCUCUGGUCGCCGCUUCGUGCAUGCCUCCUCCCUUUUCACUGCCGCAGAGGGAAAAGCGAUGGAGCAUUUCGUCUGCUGGAGGUGAAAAGAACUCAUCCAGUGACAAGUCAACCCCCGAGGACAGAAGCUCGUGGGACAGUUUUAAGACCAUGACCCCUGAGCUGACCAUCAUGCCAGGGGAGCAGAAAGACCGCAUGGAGCUA